rnacentral:rRNA from 1 species
AUGGAAUAUGGGAGUGCCACCCUGGAGGACAUUGCAGAAUAUGACACGGUGAUUAGUCAAAAUUUUGGCAGUGAGGAAGAAGGUUACAAUUACUAUAAUGUAUAUGCUCGGUCAAAGGGUUUUGGUGUUAGAAAGGAAGAACUGACUAGGAAGUCGGACAUGAACAUAGCUUUUCUGCGCCUCCACGUCUGCUCUAAAGAAGGAUAUCGGGCGAGGAAGCACUUUGAAGAAAAUUUUGUGGACGAACACAACCAUCCACUCGCUAAGCCUGAGCAGACAACUUACAUAAGGUCACAUCAUGGGCUGAGUGACGUGCAAAAGGCUGAUGUCAUUGAGUAUGGAAUUGGUGGCCUUUGA